rnacentral:sRNA from 1 species
GGAUGCAAUAUCUGUUACUCUGUCACCCCAUUGAUCACCAGGGUUGAUUCAGCUGAUCUGGCUGACUAGGCAGGUGUCCGUUUCCUCCUUGGUGGCUCCAUGUGUGUCCUUCCUGGAGCUGCACACUGGGCUUUGGUUGAAGAGUAUUCAGGAAGACCUUCCCUGAAUAGAGGACUGUUCGAUGCUCCAAAUGAAAAAAAGCAGGCUAGCAAACCACGAGGAGCAAGCCAGAAAGUAGCACUCCUCCAUGGCCUCUGCCU